rnacentral:lncRNA from 1 species
UUUAAGAUAGAGUCCUGUACAGCUUUCUACUCUUUCUACCUCCCUAUCGCAGCUGCCAUGUACAUGGCUGGAUUCGAUAGGGAGAAGGAACAUGCUAAUGCUCUAAAGAUCCUGCUGGAGAUGGGCAAGUUCUUCCAGAUCCAGGAUGACUACCUUGAUCUCUUUGGAGACCCCAGUGUGACGGGAAAGGUCGACACUGACAUCCAGGACAACAAAUGCAGCUGGCCGGUGGUUCAGUGUCUCCUACGAGCCACUUCUCAGCAACACCAGAAAGUAGAGGAGAAUUAUGGGCAGAAGGACCCAGAAAAAGUGGCGCAGGUGAAAGCACUGUAUGAGGCGCUGGAUCUGCAGAAUGUGUUCUUCAAGUACGAGGAAGACAGUUACAACCACCUCAAGAGUCUCAUAGAGCAGUGCUCUGUGCCCCUGUCCCCAUCCAUCUUCCUAGAACUAGCAAAGAAGAUCUACAAGUGGAGAAAGUGACCUCGAAUUGUACAGGCUGAGAGGGAGAGGUCUCAAUAAAUUAUUGUUCAACAAAAAAAAAAAAAAA